UUCCUAUGAGGGUCAAACCUGGAGAGUUCCCAGUACUCUACCAGUCUCUACUAUGGGAGGGAGAGUCAGGCAGAGGCAUAUCCAUUCCAUUCCUAUCUUGAGCAGUGGCUAGUGAUUGGAAGACAAUCUGCUGCAAGU
rnacentral:snoRNA from 1 species